GAACAAGUGUAUCUUAGAGGUACUGGCUUCAACACUGCCCAUCUUCUGUUGUGCUUCGUGGAGAGAGAUCUGCAACAUCCCCUUUCAGCCCUUUUGAGGAUUCCUCAGCAGUAGGUCCUUAAUAGACAAGACAAUUUGCAUCUAUUAGGUGCCAGCUAGAGACCAACUUCUACCCACUGGUUGGGGUGCUGCUACCUGUUCUCCCAGCUCUGAUCAUCACCAGGUCACUCUCCUUCACCAUGAUUCCUGGAGGAACAGAGGCCUGCAGAAUAGUAAACUUUACUUACUCUCUCAGCUGAAGACUGAAAAGGAGCGUUCUUCCCUGCUAUAGAAGAACAUUUUCUUCACCUGUAAACCGUCAACUACUAGACUGCGAAGGACCCCAGUUGGGACAGCACUUGGUACAAAAGUGUGGAUUGGAUUGGAUUGGGCUCCUGUAUCUGCUUUUGAUCAGAGACUAAAAAUAGAGCAGUUCAACCUUGCAAAUGUCUGUUGCAUGAUCUAAGUGCUGUGGGAAGAUGUAGCUUGACUCAGAGGAGGCCCCUAUCCCUCCAUGGACAGAGAAAAAAGCACAGGUGGAAGUGACAUGUGGGAUCUUUUCCCAGACGGGUAAGUUGGACUCUCUUGGCCUUCUGACAUCAACUAAAAUUUUGAUUUCAUCUUCACAACCUCAUUUUGAGGUCAGUCAUGGAACAAGAGACUAUCACUGAGAAGGCAUUGUGGGUAACCUGUUUUCAUUCUUGCAUCUUCUUUCUGCUGGGAUCACUUGAUCCAUCAAGGAUUCAAGAUGUGCUGGAAGAUACCUCUGUUACCUGUGCAAUUUGUGAACUUAAUGUUGCAAAGUGAGGUGCCCUGGGCUUUCUUCAGCAGAUUUUUGAGGGAAAAGAGAAUCUCACAUGAAUUAAUAAAGCAUAUGUUAUGAUGAAUGCCCACCACAUCUUUGAAACUUAUGCUUAGCUACAUCCUCUGUGUGAGUGCUUCAAGCACCUUCAAGUUUUAGGUAAAUGCUAAGGCUACUUAAAGAUAGUUAUCUUGGUUCUAUAUCUUUUGAGUGAGGUACUGCAGAAUCAAUCUUUGCAUGAGCUUUCCAGUAGAACUGGGUCAUUCGGUUUCAGUCACGAGUGGCUAACAGCUACAAGGUCUUUCUCCAAGCAGAGACUGUCAGUCAUGUCAGAUUUUGGGUUUGUGAUGUGGAUAAGCAUUCAAAAAGUAACAGGCUGAGACCAGUAAACCCAUUUCAUUUUCAGUCUGUAGCAGAUUUGAACACGGCUUUUAUACUGAAAUACCAGGGUUCAAACCAGCUGGUUUCACCACAUCUUUGGCACUGCCCCAUCUUUUAACCCACAGUAGCAGAAUCACAUGUAACAAUUUACGAGCUCGUGUUCUCCCAAGAGCUUGUGUUUCUUUGCUUACCAUACCUUUCUAUCCAUAAAGGAAUUAAAUAA